rnacentral:lncRNA from 1 species
GUCCACUGCAGCACUGGAUGUCACUGGCUACUGAAGACUAUGACUGAUGAUCACUCUUUGAUUCUGGAUGAAGAAGCAGCCUCCUAGGUGUCCGCUAAGUUGGUUUCACUACACAGCGGGAGCUGUGCUCUGUGGUUCCAACCAUGCUCAUGGAGAGGGGGGAUCUGUGAGGAGGAGAGAUCUCCCAGCAGUGGGGGCCCUGUGUGAGAUCCUGGAGGCGUCCCAGGACAGAGUCCUGUAAAGUUAGGGUGGAAUCAGAAGCCUGCAGGCCCUAGGGGAAAUUUACCGAAGAUGAUUUUAUGGAAGUGCAGUGUGCAUGAAGGUUUGUGCAAGUCACUGAGACCAUGGUUACCCUGGAUCACCGGGCUGAGGGCUCAUUCCAACUCUGAAGAUUGCUGUUCUUCAUCUGAAAGUCUGUCAUGCUUCCAAACCUAUCAGCUCAACACUGGGUGGGUCCACAGAGCUCAGGCAAGUCUCAGCUGAGAUCAUCGCAACCCCAAAUGACCUGAGCCCUGGGUAUGCCACCUACCAAGAAGGUGGCAGCUUGGACACUUGUUUCCUGGGCCACAGGGGGCAGGAAGACAGGGUUGGUCUGUGGGACUCUGAAGCUGGCAUUUUAAAGAUGCUGCAGAGGGAAGUCCUGGCCAUGUUUGUUCCACCAUGGCAGGUAUGGUGGGGAGAACAGGAUGGCUCCUCCUGAGCAGAUCUAAGGAUCAGCAAGGGAGAGGUCUUCCCGGGAGGGCGUAGGAGCAUCGUUUAAUGAGGACGAGAGUGUGUGCUCCGGCCAGAGUGGACGGUAGGUGACUGAGGUGCUCCUCUCCAACUGGGUCAUCCUCACCAGGCUCUGUGAGUGGGAUCAUCUGAAGCUCAGUGUCCUCACUCUGGAAAUGACAACACUGCCUUCCUCGCCACCUCCAGGGUCCUUAUGGGACCCCUAGGAGUGAAGGUGAUUUGAAGGUGUGCUUUGUUCUGGCAACGAAGGCAGGGUUCUUCUAAGAGGUGGAUCGUUAGGACUGGAGGUGGGCAUGGCAGCCCUGCAUGCAGCAAGGUCGCCUGAAGCCACAGCAACCCCAGGGAAUUUCCUCUAAAUGAAACUGUGUGUCUAAAUGAAGUUUCUGUUUUAAAUCAGACAGUGACCUAAUUACUGCUGGAGUUUCUUGGAUGUUUCCCUGUAUACACUGGCAAAUUGGAGAAGAGACUGACACACUUGAGUUGCUUGGUAUUUAGAGCAAUUGACAACCCUGUGGAGCCAGGCCAAAGCUCUGAGCAUGAAUUAAGUCUGGUGCUCCCUGGCUCUGUGUCCUCGGGCGAGAGACAGCUGCUCCUAGCUUCAGCAUCCUCCAUGGAAAUGUGGAUGCAAGACCUGAGAUCCAGCAGAGAGAGGAGGCGGGCCUGUGGUAGCCCAUCUGUGGGUCCUGCAGGAAGGCUGGAGGGGCAGUCACUGGAAACCCACUAUGCCAGUCUUGAGCCAAUCCCCAGGACCAGAGCAUCCCAGGCACUGGUUGGCUUUGGUUUUGGAUCCUGCACUCUACUUCUGAAGCUAGUUGGUGGGGAGCAAGUCCCUGGGCUGAAGGGAAUUGGGCAGGAAGCUUUGGGGACAGAGUUCACAGGACCUGGCCUCAUUGACAUAGAUGUGAGCAGAGUACCUAUCCUAAAAUAAUCCUUUCUCUCUGUGGGGCUUAGGACCUCAACAUUUCAGCACCACUGUUGAAAUCUAGUUCCAAAUUCCGUUAUGGCCAAUGAAUGUACAGACUAGAUAAACUAGAGGUACCCAUUUCAUUAACCUUUAUUCAUAUUUCUCUCAUCUUCUCUAUACAGAAAACAACUAAGUAGCAUAAACAUGAACUAAUAACAGAUAAAAUAAAUGAAAAUAAAAAGUAUCCAGUCAGGGCAUAAACACUUUUCUUGUGGUCCUGUAGCAGGAUAAGCUGAACUCAAAUACCCCCAACUGAGCCUCUGUUCCUCCCCUUCCAAAUGGAAUUUGUCUGUGAGCCUCAAUCCUAACAUAAAAAAAAAUAAAACACCAUAUCAUUUAUGUUUUAAGCUCAAUAAGUGAUAAGAAAUCAGUGAGCAGCAUUUGCUGACCUGUGGCCACUUAACCACAAAUGUUCUUGCUUUCCUUCUCCCCAAGAGUGCAGCAGAGUUAAUAUUCCUGUUGUUAAAUACCAUUUAGUAAUUGUCUCUGCAUGGUACUGAGGGGCUGUUAGAAAACAAGUGACUCAAUCCAGCAAAUCCUUUUCCUCCUGAGUCCCAGGUGCAGUCCGUUGGAGAAGGCCGUGGGCAUGUCAGCGCCUGAGAGAAGAGAGCUUCUCUGUGGGAAAGGCUGAGGGUUCUUUCCUCACACCUGAAGAGUCAAUAUCCCCACUAGGGAUAAGUCUUCUCAAAGAAACAUCGAGACUCUUAAGUUUAACCUCACCAAAGCUGCACUGAUGGGCUUCCUGAGGGCCUGAUCACCUGGAGCCUGCCCUAACGUCACAGCGUGUCCUUGCAGAAUUUGAUGUGGAGAAAAGACCUAGAAAAAAUUAAAGACAACUCAUGCUGUGAGCCUGGAUCCCAGCUCGGACCAUUGAGUUCCAGAGCUCCUGUUCUUAAUCUCUAAUCCAAGUCCUUGUCAAACGUCAGGAUCUGAGGAUUCUGGGGGUUGGGAAAUAUGUGAUGUCUACCUGCGGGAAUCUCGCAGGCCAGUGUAUAACAUGAUAAAACAAUACUAUGUGUGUCAUUACAAAUUGUGGAAAUGAUUUGCAGAGAAAAAUUUAAUGUGAGGAGAAUAAUAAUUUCUGGAGAACUCAGAGGAAAAGGAUAAACUGAUUUUGUUAACUUUUUUUUGAGGGAGGCGCUCACUCUCUAGUUCAGGCUGGGCUUGAACUCACAACUGUCCUCCCGCUUCAGCCUCCUGAAUGCUUGAGAUUACAAGUGUGUGCCGCCAUGCCUGCCUAUUUCUUAACUUUCUAAAAUCCCCUGCUUUGGAAGUUUUGGAUAAAGACUGUGUCUGAUAGGGCGAGGGGGAUUUUAAAUUGCUAUUGGGGAAUUCUCCUGCAGAGAUGUUUAUAUUCUGUGACUGGCCCUCCUUUGUUUUGUUUUUGUUUGUGUGUAUGUGUGUGUGUGUGUGUGUGUGUGUGUGUGUAUGUUUGUUGCUGUGCUUUUUAAUCUGAGCUAAUAACAACACUACAUUCAUUCUAUUAAAAAGCUUACACAAGCAGACGGUCAUUUCCAAAGCAGAUGUUCUGCAGCCCCUUUGAAAAGUGUUGGGCACAGCACAGCCUCAUGGGUGGUGUGUGUGAGACACCUCUGUGAGGACUUGGUGAGCCAAGCAGGCAGUCUGCAGCUCAUGACACACGGCGCUGCUUCUGGUGACUCUGUUGGGACAUCCUGCCACCUGCAUGGUCAUCUUACUGCAGGGUGUAGUGCACCCAGGGGUGUGUCACAUUCCAUGGUCGGGAUGGAGGUUGGUACUGUAUGGUGACUGCAUCAGUGACUCGCCCUCCCUCCAUGGAAUCUCCAUGCUGGCACCAAGCAUCUGCUUCUGCUCCUCCUGGAGAGCAGGAUCUAUGAACACAGUCCGUGCCCCUCAUGGAGAGUUUGCCUCGGUUCCUCUUAAUGAAGUGGCUGCUGGGGUGGUAGCUUUGCUCCCAAAGUCAGACUCUGUGGUCCGGGCAUUGUGGACACACCUCCCUCCACCCUCAUACAUUGUGUUCUUCCCUUCCUGAGUCUACUCUGCCUGAGCCCCAGUCCUCUGAAGACCUGGGCCAGGGCAAGUGCAUGAGGAGAAGGCAGCUGAUGCAAAGACUCUGCUGAGCAGUGGCUGUGGUUGGUGACUCCACUUCCCCCCUGGAGGGGAGGACCCUGGCCCUGCACCUGGAGAGGAAGUGACUGUCUGCAGCCCUUCCUGAAUGCAUUCACACGCCAUGCGUUUGCCAUUUCCAUGAGUGACUUUUAUUUUCUUUUAUUUUAUAAAAAGUUUUAUGAGUACAUGCUGAUGAUAUUACAUGACAAAGGAAUUUAUUUUGCUAAGUUUAUGCAAAUAUUUAAUAUCUUAAUUGUUCUCAAUCCUAUAAUCCCCUCUCCUUUUCUCCUCUCUCGCCUGUUCCCUUCCUCAUCUCCAAGGAGUCUACCACCUAGUUUCCCAUCCUUGCUACAUUUCUUAUUCUGUUUAUUUGUUUGAUUUCUCAUAAAAGAGAAAUCACAAAAUACUUAAUUUUCCAAGUCUGGCUAAUUUCACUCAUCAUGGUGGUUCCAACCAUUUUCCUGCAAAUAACAUGAUUUUAUUCUUUUUAUAACUGAGUAACAUUUCAUGUUGUAUAUUUUCUACAUUUCCUUUAUCCACUCAUCUGUUGAUGGGCUUCUAGGCUGCUUUUACAGUUAGCUAUUAUGGAUUGUGCUGCUACAAACAUGAUUAUGCAUGUGUCACUGUAAUAUGCUGCCUUUAAUUUUUCAGGAAUAUGCCUGAGAAUGGAACAGCUGAGUCAAAUG